UACGUAGGUGGCAAGCGUUAUCCGGAAUUACUGGGCGUAAAGCGCACGCAGGCGGCGCAUCAAGUUCGACGUGAAAGCUCCCGGCUUAACUGGGAGAGGUCGUGAAGACUGAUGGGCUUGAGGCAAUGAGAGGGUGUAGAAUUCCCGGUGUAGUGGUGGAAUGCGUAGAUAUCGGGAGGAAUACCAGUGGCGAAAGCGGCACCCUAGCAAUUAGCCUGACGCUCAUGUGCGAAAGCGUGGGAGCGAACGGG
rnacentral:rRNA from 1 species